ensembl:lncRNA
UCCUUGCUCUGCCUCGUGAAGACUCAGCAAGAAAACCACCAUGGUCUGCACUCCAGGACAAGAGCUGUCACCAGGAGCCACAUCAGCCCACACCUUGAUCUUGGGCUUCCCCACCUCCAGAACUGUGAGAAGUGGUGGGUUGAAGCACCCAGGCACUGGGGUAGAGGGACAGCUACUCUACCUGGGGCAUGUGGACACGUCUGUCACCCCGGUACCCUUAGACCCUCCAGUUCUGGUCAUCAAGUCAAGCAAUCUUUUAAAAACUGUUUGAGCCAAUUGAAGCCUAAGAAGAGGUGGUGCCAAGAUGCAAUAUGAUGUCCUGUUGGGAUCCUGGAACAGACAAAGAAAUUAGAUUUCUCAGCCCCUGUGUAAAAGUCCCUUGUGAAGGACAGUGGCAUGCAUUCCAUGGACGGUUCCACCGAACAGUUCCGAGUAGAUUCAGAUGCCGCUGCUUCUUUAUGUGCAAAGAAGCCCUUUCCAGUGAAGAAGACAGUAGGAAAGGAACAUUAAUAAAGUUGGUUCGAAGGAUCAGGUUAGUUUACGUUUUCUGAGAAGCAAAUUCAUUUUUUCAAAAAGUCAUUUAAAAGGUUUUCACAUUGCCCAUGCAGUGCCAGACUUGUCACGUGUGCCACAUCACGUGUUCCCUCGUGUGCACAUACACAGCAGUGACCUUGGGGGGAAGAACCGUGGACCCAUUACCACCACCUGAAAGUUGGCCUCAUCUGUCUCAGGGUCUUGCUGCUUUGACAUGGUUACCACCACUAAAUUAUAA